CAUUAUACCGCGAAACUGCGAAUGGCUCAUUAAAUCAGUUAUCGUUUAUUUGAUAGUGCCUGUCCUACUUGGAUAACCGUGGUAAUUCUAGAGCUAAUACAUGCUAAAAAUCCCGACUUCGGAAGGGAUGCAUUUAUUGGAUACAGAACCAACGCCCUUCGGGGCUUCCUGGUGAAUCACAAUAACUCCGCGGAUCGCACGGCCUUGUGCCGGCGAUGGUUCAUUCAAAUUUCUGCCCUAUCAACUUUCGACGGCUGGGUCUUGGCCAGCCGUGGUGACAACGGGUAACGGAGGGUUAGGGCUUGACCCCGGAGAAGGAGCCUGAGAGACGGCUACUACAUCCAAGGAAGGCAGCAGGCGCGCAAAUUACCCAAUCCCGACUCGGGGAGGUAGUGACAAUAAAUACUGAUCCAGGGCUCUUUUGGGUCUUGGAAUUGGAAUGAGUACAAUUUAAAUCCCUUAACGAGGAACAAUUGGAGGGCAAGUCUGGUGCCAGCAGCCGCGGUAAUUCCAGCUCCAAUAGCGUAUAUUAAAGUUGUUGAGGUUAAAAAGCUCGUAGUUGAACCUUGGCCCUGGCUGGCCGGUCCGCCUCACCGCGAGCACUGGUCCGGCCGGGGCUUUCCCUCUGGGGACCCUCAUGCCCUUCACUGGGUGUGCUGGAGAACCAGGACUUUUACUGUGAACAAAUCAGAUCGCUCAAAGAAGGCUCUCGCUCGAAUGCUUCAGCAUGGAAUAAUAAAAUAGGACGUGCGGUUCUAUUUUGUUGGUUUCUAGGACCGCCGUAAUGAUUAAUAGGGACAGUCGGGGGUGUCAGUAUUCAAUCGUCAGAGGUGAAAUUCUUGGAUCGAUUGAAGACUAACUACUGCGAAAGCAUUCACCAAGGAUGUUUUCAUUAAUCAGGAACGAAAGUUAGGGGAUCGAAGACGAUCAGAUACCGUCGUAGUCUUAACCAUAAACUAUGCCGAUUAGGGAU
rnacentral:rRNA from 1 species